rnacentral:tRNA from 2 species
GCGGGAGUAGCUCAGAGGCAGAGCGUCUCCUUGCCAAGGAGAAGGCCGCGGGUUCAAUUCCCGUCUCCCGCUCCA